GCGUAUUGGUAAGGGGUCCAAUGGACAAGGGCAGCCUGAUAGACACAGCAGUGACAUCAUAGGCAAAUGCUCCAAUCAGGGAAGCAGGACCUUCAGCACUUUACACCACUCACUCCAGGAGACCCGCCCCCAGCCAGUAGUGGUCUUGGGUUCCUGAUGCUACCAUGGGCUCCAGGCUCCUCUGCUGCUUGACUGUCUGCCUCCUGGGAGCAGGCCUGGUGGAUUCUGAAGUCACCCAGACCCCAAAAUUCCUGACCAAAUCAAGAAAACAGCAAGUGACACUGAGAUGUUCCCCUGAAUCUGGACACCGCUCUGUGUACUGGUUCCAACAGGCCCUGGGCCAGGGCCCCCAGUUCCUCGUUCAGUAUUUUGAUGGAAAAGUGUAUCAAAGAGGAAACAUGUCAGAUCGAUUCUCAGGUCAACAGUCAGGCUCGGAGUUGAACUUGACCUCCUUGGAGCUGAUGGACUCUGCUCUGUAUCUCUGUGCCAGCAGCCAAGACACAGCCCUGCAUGAUCAGGUGCCUCUGUGA